GGGGAUAACGAUCCGAAAGGGUUGCUAAUACCGGAUAAAACGACAGAGCCGGGAGGCUACUGUGGUCAAAGGUCCAAGCUACGCUCAACGAUUGGCUCGCGGCCCAUUAGGUAGAUGGUGAGGGUAACGGCCUACCAUGCCGACGAUGGGUAGCUGGUCUGAGAGGAUGAUCAGUCACACUGGGACUGAGACGCGGCCCAGACUCCUACGGGAGGCAGCAGUGGGGAAUCUUGCACAAUGGGGGCAACCCUGAUGCAGCGACGCCGCGUGUGUGAAGAAGGCCUUCGGGUUGUAAAGCACUGUCAGGAGGGAAGAAACCGGGCGAGUCCCGUGUGACGGUACCUCCACAGGAAGCACCGGCCAACUCCGUGCCAGCAGCCGCGGUAAUACGGAGGGUGCAAGCGUUGUUCGGAAUCAUUGGGCGUAAAGCGUAGGUAGGCGGCCAGGCAAGUCUGGUGUGAAAGCCCAGAGCUCAACUCUGGAGGCGCAUUGGAAACUGUUUGGCUUGAGUCCGGGAAGGGCCAGUGGAAUUCGUGGUGUAGGGGUGAAAUCCGUAGAUAUCACGAGGAACACCGGCGGCGAAAGCGACUGGCUGGACCGGAACUGACGCUCAGCUACGAAAGCGUAGGUAGCGAACAGGAUUAGAUACCCUGGUAGUCUACGCUGUAAUCGAUGUUCACUACCCGUUGCGUGGUUAA
rnacentral:rRNA from 1 species